GGGAUUGUGGCUCAGUGGCAGAGUGCCUGCCUUACAUGUGUGAGGUUCUGGGUUCAAUCCUCAGCACCA
rfam:Ictidomys tridecemlineatus contig069654, whole genome shotgun sequence.